ACGGCGGAGGCGGCUGGGUGCUUCCCCCCCCCCCCACCGGCCAGAGGAAGAUGGAGCUCGGGUAGCGAGGGCGCGCGGGCGGAGCGGCGGCAGCAGGCACAUAAUACUCCAGAGCUUCAAAAUCAGAAGUAAAAUCAUCUGGACAGUUGCCACCUGCCUUCCUAAAUAGGAGGAAAGUGGGAUUAUUGGUGCCUGCCUCAUUUGCUUCACCAAAAUGAGAUAGGGCAUGCAGGAGAGAAGGGAUAUUAUUGCAAGUGGAAGCUACAAUGAUUUCUCAGGGGACACAAUUUUGCUUAUUCAUACCUUUUACUGUGGCAAAAAUGGAGUAUUUUCCUUACCAAAAACCAGCAGCAUAACGCCUAUCAGACACUUGCCUCAAGGAAAUCUUAUCAAAAGUCUGUUCACAGUAAGUGAAAUGAAAAACUUGCUAAAGGUAGCUUUAAACUGCUUUGUAUCUAUUUGUGGCUCAAGAACAAGCAGCCUUAACAAGAGAACUAAUCUCGACAGUCUGGCUUUUAGCAGCAGCUGUUUGCUCUUAAGUAAGAGUAUUGGAGGAAAUAACUUGCUGUAAAGCAGUUUGAGGUUGAGCUGCUUCCUGACCACUGCAUACCAUUGCAUCAUACCUGUGUAUUCUGUUCCUCACUCCCUACUCCCAUUAAAUAUUUACUGUAGUGCAUAGCAAAUUGGAUGCGUGAAUAACACAAUCUAAAAGAUUAUCUGAGUUGUAAAUGAAGAUGUGUCCUCACGUUACUAUGAAUGUUUUAGUAUUCCCAGUGUAGAAAUAGGAGCCUAAAUAACUCAAAAUGUAAGAAAGAGUAAGUGAUUAUGCUGUUUUUCAUUGUACUGGGUUUUGAGCUGCAUGCAUUUCAUGGUGCCUGUAGGCCUAAGUGUUAACUUGUAAUGCAAUUCUAAGUUUAAAAAAAAAAAAACACAACAAAAGUACAUUUUAUAUCUAGUAACAGUUAUUCAUUGUCUUGCUUUUCUACGUACUGAGAUAAAUUGUAUGCGUGCAGAGUAAUUGUGAGGUAUUAAAUAUACGGAUGUUAGAGGAAAUUGUAAGGUUAGAACUUUGGCCGGGAUACCUUCUUUAUCUAAAGGUUGAAAUUUGAAGGAAUAUGUUCAGUUCUUAAACAAUAUUUUCUUUCAGAAGCAUAAUGAAAAAUGUGUAACCGUGGGGGGAAAAAAAUCUAUAAGACUCAAAAUGAGAAGAAAAUCUAGUUUAUUCUAAUUGUUUGUAUUUUGUAGAGGUACAUUGUAGUGGAAGAGAUGUGUUUCUUAAUGAAAUUGUGCAUUUAAUAAGAGGCCUCAUAUUGCAUUUCCAGUACAGUACAACAUACUGCCUACAUAUUUAUCAUUCUCCCAUAUAAAAGAAUAAUCAAUACCUGAAUUUGAUUUAAGAUGGAGCUUUGUUUUGGGAAAAUUCCAUUUUGGUCACUGGCAUUACAUUUAUCUUUCUGCUGCCUUCUGCCAGAAGAUAAUUAGCACACUAUGGGAACUUGUGAAUAAAAUAAGCGAGAUGCUGUAACUGUCUUAUGUU
rnacentral:lncRNA from 1 species